AGCGCGAGAGAGCUUGCUCUCUUGGCGGCGAGUGGCGGACGGGUGAGUAAUAUAUCGGAACGUGCCCAGUAGCGGGGGAUAACUACUCGAAAGAGUGGCUAAUACCGCAUACGCCCUACGGGGGAAAGGGGGGGAUCGCAAGACCUCUCACUAUUGGAGCGGCCGAUAUCGGAUUAGCUAGUUGGUGGGGUAAAGGCUCACCAAGGCAACGAUCCGUAGCUGGUUUGAGAGGACGACCAGCCACACUGGGACUGAGACACGGCCCAGACUCCUACGGGAGGCAGCAGUGGGGAAUUUUGGACAAUGGGGGAAACCCUGAUCCAGCCAUCCCGCGUGUAUGAUGAAGGCCUUCGGGUUGUAAAGUACUUUUGGCAGAGAAGAAAAGGUACCUCCUAAUACGAGGUACUGCUGACGGUAUCUGCAGAAUAAGCACCGGCUAACUACGUGCCAGCAGCCGCGGUAAUACGUAGGGUGCAAGCGUUAAUCGGAAUUACUGGGCGUAAAGCGUGUGUAGGCGGUUCGGAAAGAAAGAUGUGAAAUCCCAGGGCUCAACCUUGGAACUGCAUUUUUAACUGCCGAGCUAGAGUAUGUCAGAGGGGGGUAGAAUUCCACGUGUAGCAGUGAAAUGCGUAGAUAUGUGGAGGAAUACCGAUGGCGAAGGCAGCCCCCUGGGAUAAUACUGACGCUCAGACACGAAAGCGUGGGGAGCAAACCAGA
rnacentral:rRNA from 1 species